GUCCUUGUUCGCCGACCAGGUGGUCACCCUCGCCGACAUGGAUCCCGGAUCCGCAGCGGCGGAUCUCAGCCCGUUCUGGACGUGUGGAUGGUCGCUCCUCCAUCGCUCCGACGGGAACUUCAUCGGGAUCGCCUUCUUUUCCGAUCCUUGUCUCGACAGCGCCAUCGGCUUCGCGAUCGUCCCGUUGUCGAUCGAGCUCGCCGGCGGCGGCGCUCCGGCGAGAUGGCUCUGCAACUCCUUGACGCUGUCCAUCGCCGUGGCUUCGUUGAGCUUGGCGCGCUCCAGAUCCUGCUUCAUCGUCUUCAGGGAGUUCUCCCUGGCGGAGACGAGGUCCUUCAGUUGGGAGUUCUCUCUCCUGGCGAUCUCCAGGGCUUCCUUGACGACGGUGGCCUCGUUGACCGCCUGCUUCAUGAUGUCCCUGAAUC
rnacentral:lncRNA from 1 species